GACCUCCUGCCCCUCCCUUGUCCAGGUGUGCUUUUGCCAUGGCUCCACCUGCGAGGGUCACCCUUUAUGCAAAAAGUCAAAACUGCCUUGCUAAGAACAUUAAAUGAAUGUUCGAGUGCUAUUUCUCUGUGGCACUGGGGAACAAGCAUUUUGCAUUUCUAACAGUCCAGGCACCAGCCUUUAAAAAAAAAUAGAAAAAAGAUAGAUAAAAUAGUGAAUUAAAAAUAUAAAUGCAUAUUUAUCCACUAUACUUUAUUUUGUCUUUUUCAUAAUUUUGGCUCUUCUAGGUUCUUUGCAUUUCCUUAUGAGCUUUAAAAUCUGCUUCUCAAUUUCUGUUAAAAGCCUCUUGGGGUUUUGAUUGACAUUACAUUCAAUUUUUAGAUCAAUUUUGCGAGAACUGAUCAGAUUUAUUCUUGAGUAUUUUAUAUUUUUUGAAAUAAUUUUUUUUUGAGACAGGGUCUUACUCUGUCUCCCAGGCUAAAGUACAGUGGCACAAUUAUAGCUCGCUGCAACCUCUAUCUCCUGGGCUCAAGUGAUCCUCCCACUAUAGUCUCCCAAGUAGCUGGGACUACAGGUGUAUACCACCACCCCCAGCUAAUUUUUUUUUUUUCUGUGGAGAUGGGGUCUUACUAUGUUUCCCAGGCUGGUCUUGAAUUCCUUGGUUCAAGUGAUCCUUCUGCCUUGGCCUCCCAAAGUGCUGGCAUUGCAGGCGUGAGCCACUGUGCCUGGCAGGAUUUUCUCAGAGAUGAUUAUUUUGCCUGAGAAUGAAGGGCUUUAAUCUUUUUCCCUUACAGUCUGUCUGUGUUUUAUUUCUUUUUCUUGACUGACUGUGCUGCUACAAUCUCCAUGUUGAGUCCAGGUACUGAGAGAGGACGUCCUGUAUCAGUUCGUUCUCACACCGCUAUAAAGAAAUACCUGAGACUGGGUAAUUUAUAAAGAAAACAGUUUUAAUUGGCUCACGGUUCUGCAGGCUGUACAGAAAGCAUGAUGCUGGCAUCUGCUCAGCUUCUGGGGAGGCCUCAGGAACUUACAAUCUUGGCAGAAGGCAAAGGGGGAGUGAACACUUGACAUGGCCAGAGCAGGAGUAAGAGAGAGAAGGGGAGGUGAUGCACACUUUUUUUGUUUUAGACAGAGUCUCACUCCGUCACCCAGGCUGGAGUGCAGUGGUGUGAUAUUGGCUCACUACAACCUCCGCCUCCCAGGUUCAAGCGAUUCUCCUGUCUCAGCCUCCUGAGUAGCUGGGAUUACAGGCGUGCGCCACCACGCCUGGCUAAUUUUGUAUUUUUAGUAGAGACGGGGUUUUGCCAAGUUGGCCAGGCUGGUCUCGAACUCCUGACCUCAAGUGAUCCACUUGCCUCGGCCUCCCAAACUACUGGGAUUACAGGCAUGAGCCACCACGCCUGGCUGGUGAUACACACUUUUAAAAUGACCAGAUCUCAUGAAAACUCACUGUUGCAACCAAGGGGGAUGGUGUAACACUAUGAGAAACUGCCCCCAUGAUCCAGUCACCUCCCAUCCGGCCCUUCCUCCAACACUGGGGACUUUUACCAUUGAGUAUCAUAUUAGCUGUUGCAGCCACUGAGAUGCUUUAUCAGGUCAAGGAAGUUUUCUUCUUCCCACGUUUACUAUAUAGAACCAGAUUUUCACCUUGGAUCUGUUUUCCUUAUUCCUAAAGUAUGUCCUUCAUUUCUUGUACUGCACAUCUGCUGGUGGUGAAUUCUUUCAGUUUUGUACACUUGGAAAAAUCUUUGUCUUUUUUCUUUUAUUAUUUUUUUUUAAACUAGAGUCUCACUCUGUCACUCAGGCUGGAGUGCAGUGGCCUGAUCUCAGUUCGCUACAACCUCCGCCUCCCAGGGGUUCAAGCAAUUCUCCUGCCUCAGCCUCCCAAGUAGCUGGGAUUACAGGCGUGUGCCACCAUGCCUGGCUAAUUUUUGUAUUUUUAGUAGACAUGGGGUUUCGCCAUGUUGGCCAGGCUGGUCUCAAACUCCCGACCUCAAGUGAUCCGCCUGCUUCAGCCUCCCAAAGUGCUGGGAUUCACUCUACUACACUAAGUUCACUCUAAUACGACGAAUACGGAUGAACUGCUGGUUGGCCUUCGCCUCCUCCAGCACACAGACUGAUUAUUGCUGGCCUGCCUGCGUGGCCCGGAGGGGCUCCUCUUCCUUCUCCCUGCUGCAGCUCUGUUGUGCCCCCUGAGUAUUCUGAGCCCCUUUUCUAGUUCCAGGCCUGCGUCAGUGUAGGGUGACAGGAAGGGUCCUCUGCUGCACUCCACCUCAGGAAAAGCACCAUCUGUGGAGGGAAAUCUGAACUGAGGAGGAAGCCCUGCCCAGCAGCCUGGGGGCUCCCAGGGAUGUCUGCUGCAUGGAGACUGCAGAAACCUGUGGUGGGGCAGAGUUCCAGUUUGGCCGUGUGUUGACUGCCCUCACGCAGACUCUACCAGCGGCCAAGGCGGUGUCUGGAGACGACAGUGUGUGUGCCUAGGGCACACAGGCACGGAGACAUCGCCAGCCCUUUGUGUUGUGAUCAGGGCUGGCGGGAGGCUCUGACUAGGGCUGUGGGAAGGGAACGUGUGCACUGUCCUCUUUCUGAGCGUUGCUGUGGUGGGAGUCCUGUCACGGGGAGCAGUCAUGGAAGAGGACUGGCCCCUCCUCCCAGGUACAAGCACAGGCUCCUGUGCACUCCGACUCGCUGUUCCCCUCAUCUGGCCUCCCCAGAGCCCAGGCACUGCCUGCUAACCCCGGACCUUCUGUGGUCCACUUAGGACUCUUGCCCACCAUUGGUCCUGCCGGCCGGCCCGCCCAGGCUGGGCUUUCUCAUGGGGACUCCAGCUGCCCUUCUGCCCCAUGAGGAGUCACUAGCUCCCUUGGCCUCAUUCCCUUACUGGCAACUGAGGGUCUGGUUCUUAGAGUCCCUUAUGUGUAAACAUGUAAAGCUUGUGGCUGUGAGGUGUGUUUGGUAAGAACAGUCCACAGCUUCCACCAGAUUCUCAGGAGUGUCAGUGGCCCCUUCCCGGUCAAUAAGUUGAAGAGCCGGGGUCAGUCUGGCUGCCACUGAGGGCCAGGCUGCCUCCUUGUGUGCUUGGGUGGCCUGACUGCAAGGAGAUGCUCUCGCUCAGCCCUGGACACACGGUGCAGAUGGUGUGGCGGGUCAGCCCCACAGGGCCACCUCCUCAGUCUUGGGUUCUCAGCCUCAGCUGGUUCACAUUUGGGGCCAGAAGAUUCCUCCUGGUGGGGCCGUGCUGUGUGUUGUAGGAUGGUUAGAGACCUCCAGGCCUCUACCCACCAAAUGCCAGUAGUGCUCCCACCCUUAUCAGUCGUGACAACCAAAAAUGCCUCCAGACAUUGCCUGAUGUCCCCUGCGGGCCCAGUCUUCCGAAGUACAGAGCCACUGAUCUAUCUUAUCUUAGAAAGAGACUGUAGUCAUUGCAUUUCCGUAGGAAAAGGUGUUCUGAGUUAGAAAUAAUGUACAAAUAAUUUUUUGCCUUGUAUCUUCUAUGCAUCUUCUAAUUAUUAUUUUACUAGAUUACAGUCCCUCAUGUGCAAACUUUGCACACCUGGAAGAAGAGUUUACUAGUAAGCAAAAGCACUUUUUUUUUUUUUUUUUUUUNNNNNNNNNNNNNNNNNNNNNNNNNNNNNNNNNNNNNNNNNNNNNNNNNNNNNNNNNNNNNNNNNNNNNNNNNNNNNNNNNNNNNNNNNNNNNNNNNNNNNNNNNNNNNNNNNNNNNNNNNNNNNNNNNNNNNNNNNNNNNNNNNNNNNNNNNNNNNNNNNNNNNNNNNNNNNNNNNNNNNNNNNNNNNNNNNNNNNNNNNNNNNNNNNNNNNNNNNNNNNNNNNNNNNNNNNNNNNNNNNNNNNNNNNNGAUUACAGGUGUGAGCCACCGCGCCCAGCCAGGAAAAGCACUUUUUAAAAAGAUGCCUUUUUUUCCGUGUGGAUAUAAAAAUGCCACAUAGUAAUUAGAGAACAUCUAGAAAGCACAAAAAAGUAUAAAAAGGGAAAAAAUCAUUAUAAUCCACCUAACCCAGAGACCACCACCUGUGGACACAUUUUGAGUCUUUUUAUUACAUCUUUAAAAUUACAUAAUUUUGGAUCUUGAAUUUUUCCAUUUAAAAUCGAACAUAAACAGUGUGUUUAUCAAGCACUCUUUAUAGUGGUUUUGCUGGCAAGCGUCGCUUUGUGCCUGCCUGGCUCGCCACACCUCGUGCUGGAUGUGAGCUUGCACUGUUUUCAUGUAAGCACUGUCUACUGUGUCCCUGAGCAUCAGGCGUUAGGAGAGGCGGCUUCUGUAGUGGGUGGUAUCUUUGCAGCUUUUUGAAUGUUUCCCUUGAAUUUCUAUGAUGGUGAUGAUGGAAAAGACAUCAGGUCUAAGCUGUCCAUAAAAUGCAUUUGUCUGUAAUACAUGUCCUUCAUUAAAAAACACGUGGCAGUUGGGGUCUACUGUCAUGGUAGGAAGGUGGGAGCUGGACUCUCCUCCCAGCCGGGGUCAGGCCACACCUGGAGUGCCUCAGGUCCACUCUGUGCCCGCGUUUCCAGCCUGUCUCUGGAAUGACUACUUCUGAACAGAUUCCCUUUGCCUUUUUCUACCAGGCAGUAUGCACUGAGUCCUUCAGGACAGAUUAAAUGCUGAAAACCGUCAAUCAAGUGUUCAGUCUUCAUGCAGGAUCACAUCCGUGGAACUGAUGUUUUAGCACUGGGGUUGAUAGUGUCCAAGUCCCAGAUUCAGGGGCAGGCUCAGGACCCGUCCACGGUGUUGGCCUAUACUGAGGCCCAUGGGCCUCGGAGCCUGUGUGCCUGGAGCUGGACCAUGGCUCCACCACUUCGUAGCUUGGCCCGAUGUGGGCAAAGGAUUACCUAGGUGCCGAGGCAACAGACUGAAGGCACAAACUGUUUCAGUAUAAUAAAAUAGUUAGAAUAAGAAUAGUCAUAAUACAAGUCAGAUAUAGAGCUGAUCAUGGACAAUUAUCAAUCAUUAGUAUAAACAUUAUUAAUCAUUAGCUUUUAAUAUUACUCUUUGUUGCAUUACUAAUAUAACCUAGGAAUAACCGGCGGGUAUAGGGUCAGGUGCUGAAGGGACAUUGUGAGAAGUGACCUAGAAGGCAAGAGGUGAGCCCUCUGUCAUGCCCACAUAAGGGCCGCUUCAGUGCUCCUUGGUCAAGCGGUAACGCCAGUGUCUGGGAAGGCACCUGUUACUUAGCAGACCGCGGAAGGGAGUCUCCUUUCCUUGGAGGAGUCAGGGAACACUC
rnacentral:lncRNA from 1 species